AUGACAUUUAAAAAUUUUAAAAUAAUUUAAAUGGGUUAUUCAAACCCGAACAGAACCCGCAAAAAUCCGAACCAAACCAAAACCGAAAUUUAGAAAUACCUAAAUGGAGCUGAAAUCUUUGAAUCGGAAAAUCUGAAAUUUUAUUAGAUACAUAACCCGAAUGGGUACCCAAACACCCACCCUAGUGAUAAUAAUGCAGAGUAUCUAGAAGAUCUCAUUUAUCUUUUAAUUGGCUUUAUUGUUUAUUUUAAAUGUAGUAAAGCUUGUAUGAUUCUAUUAUACUAUAUAUUAUGCAUUGCAAUAGAUUUUAGUUUAUUAUUUUAGUAUAAUAAAUAAUAUUUUUUGUUUUGGUGAUUAUAUAAAGAUGUGAGAAUUUCAAGUUUACCAUUGGAAGUAGAAUAGGAAACGCUCGAAACUGGAAAUAACUCGUCCAAUGAGACUCGGUCUAAACUUUCGAAUGAUUACUUGUCGCACAAGCCACACCUAAUUACAAGAUUUCAUCAUGCACAAGAUACAAAUAGGGUUAUAUGCUGCAGAUAUUGCUUGUACCGAAAGUAACAAGGAAGAUAACACGUACGCAGCUACACGGCUUGGAUCACGGUGGCUGGUACAAUCUCCGUUGAUCACUGCACGACUCUCCGGUUACAUGUACCGCUCCUCCAGUGACCCACGUUAAUGAUGGGGGUGAUUGUGUGGUGAGACUGUGGAUCCAAUUCCAUUUGUCUUCUCUCCCUCUCGACUUUGAUCACAUUCGUCGUGUUACGGACCUGGUACGAGAUGACUACACGUGAAAGGUGAUAGAUCCCUGACGGUAAGGCUGCGACAAUGGGCGAUGGUGAUGGCACGCAACGGAUUGACAUCAAGUCCUGAACUAAAAGGGCGGUGGUUUUAUAUGGACGCUGGCUCAGACAUUGUUAUUGUUAGACACUUACUAAACACACAAUAAGUACAAUAGUUACCAGAUAUAAUAUGUAUGAGAUACUUUUGUCGUUCUCCUCAACUUUGUAUAUUCGUUCUUACAUUAUUUAAAUUUUAAUCACCAUUAUUAAGCCGUUAAUUUUCAAAGCCAAUCAAAUAAUUCUUGAAAGAAAAUGGAAUAUUAAAAUAAGUGUUCAUUAAAAGGAUUGACUCACCGUAUAUUAAGUUCAAGAUUUAAGUGGUGGUCUUCCGAAAAAUCAUCAAAACUAUACUAAAAAGAACAUACUAAGCCCUCUAAGGGCGUCCAGGUCGGACUGGAAAUUCAGCCAGUAGGAUUGCAGCAUUCUUCCACGUCAUUUAAUAGUUACUUUAGUUUGGGCUUUUGUGGUUUUUGGUCUGUAGUUUGGACUUUUGUUAUUUUCUGUUGGUAGGCUAUAGCCCAUAUUUUGCAACUGAUUUUGUUCUUCACCACGAACUGUUCUCUUCCACUUAUCGUAACUUUCAGGAUUUUAUUUUUCAUUAAUGUUGGGAUUCUUUUGAUCCGUUAGACUCUCUUUGUUAUCCCCUUUCUUCCACUUCGUAACAUACAGCUUCUCCACCAUAAAAAAACGAUAAAUAUCUUAUUCAAUUCAGAAACCACACUCAGACAAUUCUCUUUUGCACUUCCCAAACUUUCUAUAUAUUUUCCCAAAAAAAAACAAAGGGAUGACACGAAUAAUCUCAAUCUUUUAAGAACUACUGAAGAAGUACAUAGAAGCCAAAAAAGAAUUCAAAGGAAACAGAGAAGCCAACGAAAACUCCAAAGAUUUUCCGACGUAGCCAAACCUCCCCAGCGACCACUAUCUGUUCCGCCCACAGAUGGGCCAAUUAUCUUAGACUUCAGUUUCACCACCGAGCCUCUACCGCACUGCCACUUUGUUUUCUUCGCGACCAUCUGUUCCCAUUGACAUCAGUUUUUUAUCAUGGAGGAAGGAGCGAGUCCCCUUGCACCAGAUUUACGUGCUAAAAUGGAUGAGACCUUUGAGGAGAUCAUCCUGCAAACUUAUAUCUUGGAGCUUCUUAGUUUACUGUUCGGUUAUGAUCCCGCAAACUUAUGUAUCUCACCCUUGCAGAGCUCAACCAAUGCUGUUGAUAUCUGAUCCUCAGGUCAAAUUCUCAACUAUCUCAAGUUACCCUCUUAAUUGUUACGGUUCUCUUACUGAUUACAGAUUAUUGAGUUUCUAUGUAAGGCAAAAGUAACUGGUAUCCAUGCAUAUAAAGGUUGGUGUUACAUUGGUUGCUCUAGCGAGAGAUUUCUUCUUUCACAUUCAUCGUAUGUGAUAAAUCUGUCCUAAGGUAUCAUGUGUAUCAGACGAGCUGGAUGAGGCUGUCUUUGUCGCUUUUGAUAUGGAGAUGGAAAAGUUGGCAAACAUUCAAGCUGCUGAAGCUGCACAAAUUUUGGGUCUCAUGUGGACAACGAACUACCCCACUUUGUAGCCUGAUAUUAUAGGCACAAAACCUACACUUUUCCAGCUCAAGCUAUGGAAGUUUAAUUUCACUUCCAAGCACCAAACCUUCACCGUUUCCCGUAUCAUUUCUUAGGAACAGCGUGCACCACUCCCAGAAUUUGUCAUACAAAGAAACCAGUAGCACCAUAGCGCUCAACUGGUGAGCAAAACACUGUUGUAGAGGUAUCACGUUGUGCGACAGCAAAAGUCCGAGAGACUACAAGUGACGACCCUCAACUAUCCUCAUCUGCUGUACCAGCAAGCGUUCGUCAUGCGGCAAACAAGUCGAAGCUUGAUCCAAAUGAGAGUGGAAAAAGAAGGCACACAAGACAUAGCUCCACGUGACAAGGAAAGUCCACCUCUGUUUGCUUGAAAUAAUCUUAUAGGGUCACUUUCUAUUUUACAUUAUUAAACUAAAUGUAGUGGUGGAUCUUUGAGUUAUUAUUGCAAAUUUAUUUCCUCAAAUGGCUUUCUCUUUGUUUUAAGACGUAGAGUCUAAUAAUGUAAAAUAACGGUGGAUCAAAAUAUUAUUUUA